rnacentral:rRNA from 1 species
GACGAACGCUGGCGGCGUGCCUAAUACAUGCAAGUAGAACGCUGAAGGAGGAGCUUGCUUCUCUGGAUGAGUUGCGAACGGGUGAGUAACGCUUAGGUAACCUGCCGGGUAGUGGGGGAUAACAAUGGGAAACGAUAGCUAAUACCGCAUAAUAGCAGUUGUUGCAUGAUAACUGUUUGAAAGUUGCAAUUGCACCGCUACCAGAUGGACCUGCGUUGUAUUAGCUAGUUGGUGGGGUAACGGCUCACCAAGGCGACGAUACAUAGCCGACCUGAGAGGGUGAUCGGCCACACUGGGACUGAGACACGGCCCAGACUCCUACGGGAGGCAGCAGUAGGGAAUCUUCGGCAAUGGACGGAAGUCUGACCGAGCAACGCCGCGUGAGUGAAGAAGGUUUUCGGAUCGUAAAGCUCUGUUGUAAGAGAAGAACGAGUGUGAGAGUGGAAAGUUCACACUGUGACGGUAUCUUACCAGAAAGGGACGGCUAACUACGUG